GAUGAAGAACGUAGCAAAAUGCGAUAAGUAAUGUGAAUUACAGAAUUCAGUGAAUCAUCGAAUCUUUGAACGCACAUUGCGCCCGCCAGUAUUCUGGCGGGCAUGCCUGUUCGAGCGUCAUUUCAACCCUCAAGCACAGCUUGGUGUUGGGGCUCGCGUUAAUUCGCGUUCCCCAAAUUGAUUGGCGGUCACGUCGAGCUUCCAUAGCGUAGUAGUAAAACCCUCGUUACUGGUAAUCGUCGCGGCCACGCCGUUAAACCCCAACUUCUGAAUGUUGACCUCGGAUCAGGUAGGAAUACCCGCUGAACUUAAGCAUAUCAAUAAGCGGAGGA
rnacentral:misc_RNA from 1 species